GUAUAAUGGCUUAGCAGAUUUAAAAAUUAUUUAUCUCUAAGGAUAACAAAGCUGAUGUAAUUUUAAAGUACAAUGCAGAUGAAGCUAGAAGUCUGAAGGCAUAUGGCGAGCUUCCAGAACAUGCUAAAAUCAAUGAAACAGAUACAUUUGGUCCUGGAGAUGAUGAUGAAAUCCAGUUUGAUGAUAUUGCAGAUGAUGAUGAAGACAUUGAUGAUAUCUAAAUUGAUCUUAAAGGUUCAUAGUAAUGUUCUACAGUGUGGAUUUUGCCCCUCACCAUUUAAGAAGACUAAAACUGCAGCAUGAAUGUGGUCUGUUAAGGCAUACUAAUUUAUUUUCAUUGUUUUACAGUAUUUAUAUGUCUUUAAAUAAAAUGUUAACACUUUAUUUUUUUUGAAGUAAUAGAACUUAGGGGUAAAAGACUACAAUGUCUAUGGUUAAAACAAUAGAAAGAACAUAGGAAAAAGACAGAGAAUGAAUAAAAAAUGUUUUCCAGUUAAUGGAUGUUUUUAAUAAAUUGUCUUAUCGUUACAGUUAGUUAUAAGUCUUAGUUCCAACUAAUUUUUUUUUGCAGAAAAUGUUGCAGUUACUUAGAUGUUUUCUUUGAUUUUUGUUAACACAUAAGGGAAGCUAGAAGUCUAUAUUCAAAGUCAAGAAAAUGGGCUAUUUUUAUAUUUCUGUAGCUGUAUUUUUGUACUAUGUUUGAUAAUACUCUAUUAAUUUUUAUUGUCACCUUCAUAAAUAAGCAUUUCCAAACUGCAGAUUUUGGAAUGUGGGUUUGAGGAGCAAUUUUGAAUUUAGAGGAUGAAUAGAUUCAAAAAUUCAGGCCAAGAUAAUAUCCAAUUAAUUCAAAGUUGAAAGUAGUGAUAUACUGUUGACAGUGGUUUUCUUUUCCCUUAAUGUGUAGAAAAUUUCUUAAAUAAGGCAAUUUGUAAUGGCAAAAUAAGGAAAAUUGUUUAUACUAUACCAAAAACUUAUGUUAAAAUAUGUCAUUUUAUUGUCAAAACUCAUGUAUACUUGUAACCCAUAGUUUUGAAAACCUAAUUUUAUAAUAAACUUGCAUAGAAUGAAAGAGUGAAACCACAGCAUGAAUGUGGUCUGUUAAGGCAUACUAAUUUAUCUUUUAUUUCAAGAUACGAAAUAAAAUGUUCAUUGAGUAUAUUUUGGUUA